GGCAAGUGGUCAGCGGUCAGCACGGCUCUCCCGCCUCUCGCUGCCGCCAGAGUCCCCGCGGCCCGGCCGGGAGGCUGUACGGGGCAUUAUGGAGAGUUCGUGCCCAGCCCCCUGCCCCCUCGGUGGGGAGGGGGAGGGGGACGGGAAGUCGCCGGCUCGGGGAGGGCGGGGGAGGGGGAGGGAAAUGAUGGCACCGACCAGACACCAAGAAACCGGACCUGCAGCAGCAUCUCCCCAUGCAGCUCUGAACCACAGCGGCGGCUGCGACAGAGGUUUAUUAUGCUCCUGGCUCCCCUUCCUCUGCAACUUCACAGCCCAGUUUCCAUGUGGGAAAGGACCCUGGGGAUUGGCUGAUUCAAGCCCCUCGUUCCACUGCAAGGAAACCAAGGCCCAGUGACUUGACCAGAGUCCCACUGCAGUUCUCCGACCAGGGAUUGAACCCGGGCCCCUGGCAGUGAGAGCACGGAGUCCUAACCGCUGGACUGCCAAGGAAUUCCCUACCCCUAUUCUACAGACAUGAAUUCACCUGACCCUCACACAACAUCUCCACGAAGAAUGGAAGGUGAGUAUUCUUAUUAAACCCAUGGGGUUUACAUGGGGGCUCUGAAGUUCAGAGAGGUUAAAUGACUUGCAAGAGAUCCCACAGCCAGUGUCUUUUGAUUCUAUAUCUCCCACCCACCCACGCUCACAUACACACAUAGUCUGCUUCUGCUCUUAUCACUAGCUCUUCCUGAAAGUAGGAGAUCAACUCCACCAGCCCUGGCCCCAGGAAGGAUGCCCUCACCCUGUCCUCUUACUUGGAUGCCACCAGAACUGCCUCUGGUCUCUCCAUCCGCAGGUUGGAGUGAUUCUGCAGACCCCAGCAGAGGAGAGCAAAGCUCAGCGGGAAGAAGAUGCAGCCCAGUACAAAGAGCAGGGUCAUGCCUGUCUGGGGUAGAGAAGGUGAGAAAAGAUGGCUGUGAGAACACCUCAACACAGUGUCCCUCAGACCCUCCCUUCACCCCAAAAACUCAAGGCCUAUGGGAUCCAUCUUUCAUAACUAUCAAAAGCCAUCAGGCGUAGCUCUUCCCCAAUCUCUUCGAGAUCCUUAAUGCACUUUAAAUAUGCCUCAUCCAGAGCAAUUGGACAUCCUAAUUUUUGGUUAUCAAUCCAUUUCCUACACUUUUAUUCAUUUCCUCUGUAGUUCCUGAAGCUGGCCUACACCUCCCAGUCCAUCUCACACCUUAAAAUUCCCUCUUUCUCUUUCAGCUCUUAAGUAUGUGCCUGCUCUUUCUUAACUCACCCCAUCCCAUCCUCUGUCCCCCCACCCCAAGCUCUUUGUGUCACCUCUCCCCUCUCCUAGGUCCUCACCUCGGAGGGGCAAGGUGGAGGCUAGAGAGGGAGGCUGGUGGUUCUCAUCAGUGCCCAGAACUCAGAAAAAAAGGAAGGAGGGGUGUUCAAAUUGUAAAGAUAACUGAAAUUUUAAAAAUAAUAUUUCUUUAAAAAGAAAAAGAAAACUCAAGGCAUUAUCCCAUUAAAGAAACAAACAAAACAUGGGAAAACCUUUGAAAACAUAUAUAUUUACAUAUAUGUUAUUUUUGUCUGGAAAAGCCUCCCCUCCCAUCCACUCCAGGGAGGGGAGGUGUGAGGAAAGCCCAGGAGAGACGUAGGGAGUCAGGGCCUGCCAUCCUGCACCCCUUAAGCAGCUUUGAGGGGACCUUCUCAGGAUACAAGGAAAGCGUCAAACUGCAAGGGCAUGAGGCGGAGGCAGCUCUACAGAGGCAGUUGGAGGGGGCAGGAACAUCACCUUCCUAUUGGUGGAAUGGUGGACGGUUUGGAAUAUGCCGUCUUCCCAUUGGCCCACUUCUUGACAACAUGUGCUCUAUCAUAUGCUUCCUGGAGA